UUUUGGCAUGUUCUUUCUAGUUACUUGAGUAUCAAUUACUUGAUUUUUUCCGUGUGUGAUAUGUGAAACUUGCAGUGCAAUAGCUUGUUGCACUCAUGCGACCAAGAGGCAAAGGACGGGAACGCACACUUUUUGACCGGUUCUUUGAUUCGACCCAACCGAGAGGUAUUGAGCCAAACACUCAUUUUUCUUCUAUGUGUGAUAUCCACUCAUGUAUUGUCUCUCGAUUUUGCUUGUCGUCUUUUUAUUUGAUUGGUACUUUUGUAGCACACACGAGGCAUGUUCCUUGGUACCUUUGAGCCUUUCUAUCCACCCUU
rnacentral:lncRNA from 1 species